rnacentral:rRNA from 1 species
UACAGAGGGGGCAAGCGUUAUUCGGAAUUAUUGGGCGUAAAGGGCGCGUAGGCGCCUGGCAAGUGGAUGGUGAAAUCCCUCGGCUUAACCGAGGAACUGCCAUCCAGACUGCUUGGCUUGAGACCGGGAGAGGUGAGUGGAAUUCCCAGUGUAGCGGUGAAAUGCGUAGAUAUUGGGAGGAAGACCAGUGGCGAAGGCGGGUCUCUGGACAGUUCCUGACACUGAGGCACGAAGGCCAGGGGAGCAAACGGG